rnacentral:lncRNA from 1 species
AUGAACUCUCCAUUCCCCUUUCUCAAGUUACCACCCUUAGAGAGCAUGCAGGAUCUCAAAGGAAGACUGCAGCAACAGGAAAGACUUGUGUUAAGUUUUUCCACUGAGAAUGCCAGAACCACCCCGGAUUUGCACUUGGACUUCUGCACUUUGGACCCCACUGAGGAUACACAACAGUUCAUCCCCAAGGCUACCGCAAUGGGAAAGGAUCCUGAAAAUCAAAGGCCCUAACCACCUGACAAUUUUUUCUGAAUGUAUUUUGGGAGAGAGCAACCCUACUUUGUACUGCCUAACAGGUAGUUAUCAAUAAUAAUAAUAAUUAAUGGUAUUUGUUAAGUGCUUACUAUAUGCCAAGCACUGUUCUAAGCACUGGUGUAGACACAAGGUAAUCAGGUUGUCCCUUAUAGGACUCAUAGUCUUAAUCCCCAUUUUACAGGUGAGGUAAUUGAGGCACAGAUAAGCUAAGUAGCUUGCCCGAGGUCACACAGCAGACAAGUGGCAGAGGGGGAAUUAGAACCUAUGUACUCUGACUCCCAAUCCCAUGCUCUUUCCACUAAGCCACGUUGCAGUAAGUUAAUGAGCACUUACCGAGUGCAGAGCAUGGUACUAAGCACUUGGGAAACUACAAUACACCAGAGGUAGACAAGUCCCCUGCCCACUGUGAGUUUAUGUAGAAGGGGAGGCAGACAUUAAAAUACAUCACAGAUGUAUACACAAGUGCAGAGGGCGCAGGUGAAUAUCAAGUGCUUAAUGGGAAUAAUUUAUGUGGAAUAACUAUGUGUAAGAGGCAGAGGUGGUUUAAAAGCCAAAUCAAGGUCAGGCAUUAGAAUAGAUGAUCUGAAUAACGAACAGAUGUAGAUGUUACAAUUUGCAGCCAUCUUCUCCAGAACUUGGGACAGUAUUCAGAACAAACACUUCCACACCCUUCCUCCACUUCCUGAGUAAAACCUUCAGAAUAGAGACAAGAAAAGAAUAAAGAAAAUUUAUUGUAACCUUAAUUCUCUUCUCUUAAGCCUUCAUUCUCUUCUCCCCUUGCCUGCCUAUCCCCCACCCUCAUUUCUCCACCACCAUCUUGCCUCUGAAAUAAAAUCUUCAGAAUAAAGAAAAAAAUAAAACAUUAAAAAAUUUAAAA